UUUGUAGUGGUGUAAAUCAUGUAACUCUUGUUCGUUUAUAUUGGUUUGAUAAAUGAAUUGUUGCGGAUGCUGAGUUUCGUGGCGGAUUUUGGAAGGUUGAUGUGUGGGAGGGGGGAUGAUCUUCUGGAACAAUUAAUGCUGAACGACAGACUUGUCACAUUCCUGUUUUGUUUUAUUUUAGGUUAAAACGAUAUAUUUGACUGAGGUCUCAAGGGCCUAGAAUGCUCGAAAAAAUCGUUCUACUUUGUGUCCGUGGUUACUGCGGUAUCUACAACAUAUAGUUACAAAAACUGAAAGAAACUCUGAAUGCAUACCCAGAACUUUCAUAAGAAUUCAUGGAUAAACAUGACCAGAUACAAAUGCAAUUUAAUCUUAAGCGGGGAACUCUGACUGAAAGGAGGAAGACGUCAAAAAUGGUUGACGAGACCUAAAGGGUACGUCAAAAGAGGAUUCAUAGGCAGUCAAAAAGACGUAAAAGAUGAUACAGAGGGUUCGAUCAACUGUACACCAUUAAAUUUCAAGUUACAACAGGCACACGUGUAAAAAGGCGAAAUCACAACAAACAUUUCUGGUCUUAACCUUGGCAGAGUCGCACAACGUCAGCCGAUACAAGUAAAAAAUGUCGUCUGCUUUAUUAAAGAACGCAACGCCAGCCGAUACAACCAGUAAGUCAAUGGCACAGUCUGUUUCCGCCGGACUAUCAGGUCACCCAGGGAAACAUCAGAAAGGCCAGCGCCCUGUAGUAAUCGUCUGCGUUCUGGGAAGAUGGU